rnacentral:rRNA from 1 species
AUUGCAGAACACAUUGAACAUCGACACCUUGAACGCAUAUGGCGGCCUCGGGUCCAUCCCGGGGCCACGCCCGUCUGAGGGUCGGCG